AGAGUUUGAUCCUGGCUCAGAGCGAACGCUGGCGGCAGGCCUAACACAUGCAAGUCGAGCGCCUGUAGCAAUACAGGAGCGGCAGACGGGAGAGUAACACGUGGGAACGUACCCUUCAGUUCGGAACAACCCAGGGNAAACUUGGGCUAAUACCGAAUACGUCCGUAAGGAGAAAGAUUUAUCGCUGAAGGAUCGGCCCGCGNUCUGAUUAGCUUGUUGGUGAGGUAACGGCUCACCAAGGCUACGAUCAGUAGCUGGUCUGAGAGGAUGAUCAGCCUCACUGGGACUGAGACACGGCCCAGACUCCUACGGGAGGCAGCAGUGGGGAAUAUUGGACAAUGGGCGCAAGCCUGAUCCAGCCAUGCCGCGUGGGUGAUGAAGGCCCUANGGUUGUAAAGCCCUUUCGGCGGGGAAGACAAUGACGGUACCCGCAGAAGAAGCCCCGGGCUAACUUCUUGCCAGCAGCCGCGGUAAUACGAAGGGGGCUAGCGUUGCUCGGAAUCACUGGGCGUAAAGCGCACGUAGGCGGCUUUUUAAGUCAGGGGUGAAAUCCUGGAGCUCAACUCCAGNAACUGNCUUUGAUACUGGAGGAGCUUGANUCCGGGAGGAGGUGAGUGGAACUGCNAGUGUANAGGUGAAAUUCGUAGAUAUUCGCNAGAANCACCGGUGGGCGAAGGCGGCUCACUGGGCCCGGUACUGACGCUUAGGUGCGANAGCGUG
rnacentral:rRNA from 1 species